rnacentral:rRNA from 1 species
AGAGACAGCAGCAGCCGCGGUAACACGUAGGUGGCAAGCGUUGUCCGGAAUUAUUGGGCGUAAAGGGCUCGCAGGCGGUUUCUUAAGUCUGAUGUGAAAGCCCCCGGCUCAACCGGGGAGGGUCAUUGGAAACUGGGAAACUUGAGUGCAGAAGAGGAGAGUGGAAUUCCACGUGUAGCGGUGAAAUGCGGAGAGAUGUGGAGGAACACCAGUGGCGAAGGCGACUCUCUGGUCUGUAACUGACGCUGAGGAGCGAAAGCGUGGGGAGCGAACAGGAUUAGAUACCCCUGUAGUCCCUGUCUCUUAUAA